CUCAAAUUUGAGGAGAGUGAAUUCACAAGGUUGAUUUAAGGAAGCAUGAUGAUGGCCAGUAUGAGGCCAAAUUUAUAGAGCUCUUUCAUUUUGCUCUAGACUCGAUUGCUAUUGACGGCAUCAAGGUAAGAAGUUUUGAGAAAGGGCUAAGGCCUAGGAUCUAAGCUGGGAUGAGAUUGAUGCAAUCAGUUUGCUAUCAAGAUGUGGUCAAUAUAUUUAAAAUUAUGGAACAAGAGGUCGACACAUGCAGUAAGAGAGGGAGAUACAAUAGAAAAAGAGGUCCAGACUUGGCGGACCUUCAGAUGGUCGAUCCUCCAUCAACCAAUCAAAGUAGCAUAAAACCCAUGAGAA
rnacentral:lncRNA from 1 species